GGCCAGCCUUCCUACAGUCUGAGUAGAGACAGUGCCUUUAUUCUCCGUGACGACUGAUAGGCCACCUGGCUGAGUGCCAUUGUCGUGUCUCCAGUGGUCAGAGACCUUAUUCGUGGCUCUGUUAGAGGCGGGCAAGUACGGAUCCAGGAAGUAGAUCUUUGAGAAUGUUUCAUUCCACAGGAAAUAUAUAACUCCGCAAGUUUUUUUUGCUUUUUUUUUUUUAUUUCCCUUAGCUAUUAGAAAAUAGAUGCCAAACUCUCUGCCAGUGCCUGACUUGGCUUGGGUGCCUGGAGCUGUUUACACCCUCCGAGUUCCGUGGCCGUCUCUGCUCUGUUCCACCCAUGGACGUCUGACUUUACAAGUUAUUACCCCUCAGGCCACCUCAAGGACUUUCACCAUCAGUUUAAUGACCGCAGAGGACUUCUCGUGUGACAGUCACUGAGCUCCAGGCUGUGCCCGACCCAGAGAGGAGCAAGCCCAGCCCUGCCCUCAAGUUCCUCCAGCAGCUGAGAGGGGAGAGGAAUAAGCAACGCAUCUUCAGGGCACGACUUGCUGCCAGGGUGGGUUUAACGGUGUUACUGCAGUUUUUCAGGGAUAUGGAGUGAUACUAAUUUGUAUUCCCUACUCCACCCUACACAUGUCAAAUGAGGCCAUUUUCCCCAAGUCUUGAUAGGUAGGAGGAGUUUGGGCUCUUUUUCUAUGAAAAAUCAAUAUCUCCUUGGAGAAUUAUUAAAAUUAUAAAUUGAGGCCAGGUGCGGUGGCUCACACCCACAAUCCCAACAUUUUGGGAGGCCGAGGCAGGAGGAUUGCUUGAGCCCUAGAAUUUGGGACCAGUCCUAGCAAUAGAGUAAGAUGCCAUCUCUACAAAAAUUAGCUGGUUGUGGUGGCAUACGUCUGUAGUCCCAGCUAUUUGGGAGACUGAGGCAGGAGAAUUGCUUGAGCCCAGGAGGUCAAGGCUGCAGUGAGCCAUGAUCACGCCACUG
rnacentral:lncRNA from 1 species